AUAGCGUAUAUUAAAGUUGUUGCAGUUAAAAAGCUCGUAGUUGGACUUUAGGCAAGGCGGUCUGGUCGCCUACUAGGUGUACUGGGCUCGCCGCGCCUCACCUUCGGGGAACUAGUCGUGCUUCGGUGCGCUAGGGAACCGAGCCUUACUUUGAAGAAAUUAGAGUGUUUAAAGCAGGCUUACGCUUGAAUACAUCAGCAUGGAAUAACAUGAUAGGACUUUGGUUCUAUUUUGUUGGUUUGAGGACCAAAGUAAUGAUUAAUAGGGCCAGUUGGGGGCAUUAGUAUUCUAUAGUCAGAGGUGAAAUUCUUGGAUUUAUAGAAGACUAACUAAUG
rnacentral:rRNA from 1 species